rnacentral:rRNA from 1 species
CGCGUAGGCGGCGGACCAAGUCGAGUGUGAAAGCCCCGGGCUCAACCUGGGAGGUGCGCUCGAGACUGGUUGGCUGGAGUUCGGGAGAGGAGCGUGGAAUUCCCAGUGUAGAGGUGAAAUUCGUAGAUAUUGGGAGGAACACCGGUGGCGAAGGCGGCGCUCUGGACCGAGACUGACGCUGAGGCGCGAAGGCGUGGGGAGCAAACA